rnacentral:misc_RNA from 1 species
UACAGAGGGUGCAAGCGUUAAUCGGAUUGACUGGGCGUAAAGGGCGUGUAGGCGGCGAUUUAAGUGAGUUGUGAAACCCCUGGGCUUAACCGAGGAAUGGCAAUUUAUACUGGAUGGCUUGAGUAUUGGAGAGGGAAGUAGAAUUUCCGGUGUAGCGGUGAAAUGCGUAGAGAUCGGAAAGAAUACCGGUGGCGAAGGCGGCUUCCUGGCCAAAGACUGACGCUAAAGCGCGAAGGCGUGGGUAGCAAACAGG